AUUUCAAAAAUUGAGGGAAACAAUGGAGCAUUUCUACUGUAACACCGUCUGAUGCCAUACGCAAUUCACACGCCACAAUUAGUUGUUCGUGAUUAGGUAAUUUGAUGUGGUUCUUCAUCUUGUUAUUGCUCUUCCAUCUCAUCCUAAAAACAUCGACAGUAGGAUAACAAUGGCCUCCAUCACUCUGUUUCUCAUGAACACGAGUUCAUUUGUCAUAGCAAAUGGGUACAGGCAAGUGCAACGAAUAUGUCUCCGUGUGACUCCAUUUCUCUUCCUUCGGUUUGGGUGUCAUUCUUCAUUUUUUUUCCCCAGAGAGAAUGAAAAUUAGAUUAUUAUACUUCUUUUGAAUUUGAGAAUUCAGGCACUUUGUAGAGAUUGCACGAAACCUACCAAUGAUCUGGAUGUAAUUUUUCAGAAAAUAUGUGCAAAGUGUUCGACAAAUGCCUGUUAGAGGUGUGAGAUUUUUACCAUCUUUGACGGAAAUAUAAUCUGAAGUAAUUUUCCCCCUGUAUGUAUGUAUAUGUUUCUUUCUCCACUUUAGGAUUUUUGUUCUUCAGAUUAAGUUUCAUGAACUUACCAAUGACCUGGACGUAAUUUUUCAGAAAGUAUGUGCAAGGUGUUCGACAAAAUGCCUGUUAGGGGUGUGAGAUUUUUACUAUCUCUGAAGGAAAUAUAAUCUAAAGUGGCUUUUCCCCCUGUAUGCAUGUAUAUGUUUCUUCCACCGCUCUUUAGGAUUUUUGUUCUUUAGAUUACGUUUCAUGUCAUGCUCAAAUGGUUUCGUUAACAUUGUGAACAAAUCAUUCUAAGAUUAUUCUAAUUGUGAGGGGUGGCUAAACCAGUUUUCUUGAAACUCCUUCGCCAACUGUCGAUCUAUGCAUAAACUGGUUAAGGAACUUUAAUAUAUUAGUUGUUUCAUAGUUUUAAUGUCUUGUUCUUGUUCCACACUUGGUCCCCCAAGCUUGAUGCAUAAGCACCGAAACUGAGAUCACUGAAGGGUGGAUUUUUCCUUAUUAAUGUAUUAUUGUUGGCUUCUUCAAAAGUUGAAUUAAUUAAUUCCAAAACUUCAUAAUCUUUUUAGCUUUGUCACGAUUUUUCCUAUAAUGAUCAUGUCAAGGUUUGAAUGGAAGGAUGACUGCACACAAAAUUACUCAUCGAAGGGCAUCGAAAAGCAGCCACAUCUACCAGUUCAUAGAUUUUCAACACAACGACGUCGUUUGGGAAAAAAAAAACAACCAAAUGGAGAAACGACGUCUGCCAGGGAAAAUCAUGACAGAGGAUCCGCAACUGAGGGCCUAAGCUGUCCUACCCUUCUGAUUAUCAGAUGCAACACUUCACCUUCAAAAUGGAAACCUAUUCUGCCUGGUUUGUUUAGAUUUAAUGUCGCUGGAUCUUCUCCCGGCUAGGUCUUGCUGGUGUAGCUGAAAUUUUCUGAAUUAUGAGGUUACACAAGUUCCUUUCUUCUCAUCAUUCUUUGAUUCUUUGGUUCUUUAAGAAAAAAUAAUGUGGUUGAGCGAUCUCUGAAUUGCUACUUGGAGUCUUUAUUACUUUAUUCGCUUAGGCAUAGAAUUUUCUAGUGCCAUGAAGAGAUCACUAAAGCACAAGACCUUAUGGAGGAUAGUCAGCAUUUGUUGCAUUUAAGUUCCGCAAAGCGAGGUUUUUGGCUUACAAGUGAGAUUAACAUUGCAACUAAUGAGUUAGCUAAGAUGGAACUAGAACAAUAUAAGCCGUAAAUGGUAACUUUCUAUUUUUUGGUCCACUUUUUGAAUGUUACAACUGUUGGUUACAGAUAUCAAGGGGGGCUAUGUCUCUUUAGGCACUUUGUUACUAUCAAACUUUUGAAACUUCCCUUUCGCUUAAUAUAAGCCACGUUUUGUUCGUCGACUGUAUGGAUUUGUAUAAAUGGUAAAAUCCUCACUUGGCUUCACCAUACCUUUAGAAAUAUAUGUCAGGAUAGCGAGGGUUCUAGAUGCCAGAUGCAUGUAGAGGAUAUGCACCAUUUAUUCAUUGGUUGGUGCUUUGAUUCGAGACUUUUGGAUUAACUUCACAAUUUCAGCUUCGGGGGACACUAAACAAUUACAGGAAGCCAGAACCCAUGAUUAGAGGGAAGCCUUGGAAUGUUUUUUAUGUGUUGUUCUUCUAUGAUAGUUAUGGUUGAGUAGAAACAAAAUAAAAGUGUUUGACAGUCUGGACAGCGCUAAGCACAAAACUGAGACUUAACAAACAAAAAUCGAACAAAAUCCUCGCAUAUUUACAUGUUGGUUGCAAAUUUCUAGGUAAAUGCAAGUUGAGGUUGAACACUGAUGACAGUUUGCAAGGUAACCUUGGGUUGGCUAGUCUUGGAGUUGUCUUUAGGGACGAGAGGCGCUGCUGGAUGUUUUAACUUUUUUGAAGGUUGGCUAAUGUCAUGACCUUGAAUGCCAAACUUAUGGGCAUAUUUCCUGGUUUGCAAAUGGAAGAGUGAACUUGAUCAAGGGUGGAGCUCCUGCAAAUUCCCCUCAUAAGGUGCUGGAGGACGAAUGUAAAGAAAGCAUGGCAUGAAGGAAUUGGACUGUUGGCUAUAUUCCGCAGGAGGGAAAGAUGGGCCUCUAGCAGAUACACUUGUGGAAAUUGUGUUAAUUUGUCUUAAGGAAGUUAGAGAGCUUCUUUGAGCUGAAUUUCGCCAAAAUUUGUAAUCAUUGACUUUAGUUUAUCUUAUUUCUACCCUGUAAUCCCAAAAAGAAAAAGAAAUGCCGCGUUGUUUUCUUUGUCA